rnacentral:tRNA from 1 species
GAAAUAGGUAAUUCGGGGGUAAGCUUCUAACUUAACCCCUUAGCGUUGAAAUACGUUGUUAUUUCU